UAAUUGAACAUUCCCAUACAAUUUUUUCACUAUUCGUGGCAUCAAUCAAAAUAGGCAGGACAGGGCACUAUCGAACCGAUCAUUGUUUUCGAUUCGUAAUGAUAAACGUUAUUAAUUCAAAUAAAUUUCCUUUCUUGCACAAACAUCUAACUUUUAUGUACACUUUCUUUAAGAAGUAGCAAUCAAAUCAUCAUGGACAGAAAAUUUGAAUUUGCAGUUGGUGCUAUGUGUACGGAUUCCAUGUUUUGGUCGUCCUCAUUGUCCGCGUCAUGUACUUCAUCCUCAACCAGCUGGUGUCCUUCGUGCAAGUGAUCGGCGGCAUCAUAGUUGGCUAGUGAUCAGUGUCCGUCCAAACCUCCCUUGUGCUGUAGUACAGAGAGAAACAAAAUAGUGAGAGAAAAGAGCAGUAGAGAGAAACAAAUUAGAGGUGAGCUAAAAAACAUUAAAUUAUUCUAAAAAAUUCCUAUUGUCAGUAAUAUCCAUAGUGAAGCUUGGCUCUAUAUAGUAAUGAUGAAUACUGCUACUUUGUCUUACUAAUCAGCACUCAUACUGAUCUAGCUAACACAACAAAUUUUUCAUCUAGUGGACUUUUAACAUUAUAUUAGAAAACUUGAGCUACAAAAUCCCACAUUUGUUAUACUUGAAAACUCUAUCCAAACUAGGCACCCCCCAAAUCUCACACAACAAAGCAUGUUAUAUGUAUUUUUCACGAAUGAUUGUUCACGUACUGAACUGAGAGCACCUAGUUUGUGUUUCAGGAAUUAAAAUAGAUGUCCUGAGCACCCCGUGUCAGCAAAUGUUUGUCCUAUAAUUCAACAAUAGAAAAUAUAGAUAAGCAAACACCUAUUUUUAUGGAGAAUAUACCAUUUUUGACGACCUUCAUGUGACCAGCAGUGCUGGAGGUGAUCUAGUGUCUCCUGCUACUGCUGCAGGUCGACGAGGACUUGUACAGUGGUAGAGUUUUUGCAAAGUGAACUGAUACCUUUUCUAGCUUGAGAAAUGCAGAAAAUUAGCAAAAGUGAACCACCAAAUUCUAUAUAGAAGUGCAGAAAUUAAGACAUCAAAAGCUUAAACAAAGUAGGUGGAGUUUUUUUAAUACAUUAGCAUUUGAACUUUUAUUAGUUCUUGUCCUCAAAACAAAGUAGCUUGAUUUUUUAACCACCGCAAAUAAACUCUUAAAUACUUAUGGCAAGUAUAUUUGAACUGAUGUAUCCUUUUUCUAGUUACUGAUUGCCAACCAGCCCAAACAAACUCUUAAGUACUUAUGGUGAGUAUUUUUCAACUGAUGUAUCUUCUUUCUAGUUAAUAAAUUGCUAUACUAGAGUACUGCAUCCUUGGAAAUGAAAUACCA
rnacentral:lncRNA from 1 species